GGAUUAGAUACCCUGGUAGUCCACGCCGUAAACGAUGUCGACUUGGAGGUUGUGCCCUUGAGGCGUGGCUUCCGGAGCUAACGCGUUAAGUCGACCGCCUGGGGAGUACGGCCGCAAGGUUAAAACUCAAAUGAAUUGACGGGGGCCCGCACAAGCGGUGGAGCAUGUGGUUUAAUUCGAUGCAACGCGAAGAACCUUACCUGGUCUUGACAUCCACAGAACUUUCCAGAGAUGGAUUGGUGCCUUCGGGAACUGUGAGACAGGUGCUGCAUGGCUGUCGUCAGCUCGUGUUGUGAAAUGUUGGGUUAAGUCCCGCAACGAGCGCAACCCUUAUCCUUUGUUGCCAGCGGUCCGGCCGGGAACUCAAAGGAGACUGCCAGUGAUAAACUGGAGGAAGGUGGGGAUGACGUCAAGUCAUCAUGGCCCUUACGACCAGGGCUACACACGUGCUACAAUGGCGCAUACAAAGAGAAGCGACCUCGCGAGAGCAAGCGGACCUCAUA
rnacentral:rRNA from 1 species